CCUACGGGUUGCAGCAGUGGGGAAUCUUGCACAAUGGGGGAAACCCUGAUGCAGCGACGCCGCGUGAGCGAUGAAGCCCUUCGGGGUGUAAAGCUCUUUCGACGGGAACGAUAAUGACGGUACCCGGAGAAGAAGCUGCGGCUAACUACGUGCCAGCAGCCGCGGUAAUACGUAGGCAGCAAGCGUUGUUCGGAGUUACUGGGCGUUAAGAGUGUGUAGGCGGUUCGCUAAGUUUGGUGUGAAAUCUCCCGGCUUAACUGGGAGGGUGCGCCGAAUACUGGUGGGCUAGAGUGUGGGAGAGGGAAGCGGAGUUCCUGGUAUAGCGGUGAAAUGCGUAGAUAUCAGGAGGAACACCGGUGGUGUAGACGGCUUCCUGGACCACAACUGACGCUGAGGCGCGAAAGCGUGGGGAGCAAACAGGAUUAGAUACCCGCGUAGUC
rnacentral:rRNA from 1 species